rnacentral:rRNA from 1 species
GAUGAACGCUGGCGGCGUGCCUAAUACAUGCAAGUCGAGCGAAUGGAUUAAGAGCUUGCUCUUAUGAAGUUAGCGGCGGACGGGUGAGUAACACGUGGGUAACCUGCCCAUAAGACUGGGAUAACUCCGGGAAACCGGGGCUAAUACCGGAUAACAUUUUGAACCGCAUGGUUCGAAAUUGAAAGGCGGCUUCGGCUGUCACUUAUGGAUGGACCCGCGUCGCAUUAGCUAGUUGGUGAGGUAACGGCUCACCAAGGCAACGAUGCGUAGCCGACCUGAGAGGGUGAUCGGCCACACUGGGACUGGGACACGGCCCAGACUCCUACGGGAGGCAGCAGUAGGGAAUCUUCCGCAAUGGACGAAAGUCUGACGGAGCAACGCCGCGUGAGUGAUGAAGGCUUUCGGGUCGUAAAACUCUGUUGUUAGGGAAGAACAAGUAUCGGAGUAACUGCCGGUACCUUGACGGUACCUAACCAGAAAGCCACGGCUAACUACGUGCCAGCCGCCGCGGUAA